rnacentral:rRNA from 1 species
GACGAACGCUGGCGGCGUGCUUAACACAUGCAAGUCGAACGGUAAGGCCCUUCGGGGUACACGAGUGGCGAGCGGGUGAGUAACACGUGGGUGAUCUGCCCUGCACUUCGGGAUAAGCCUGGGAAACUGGGUCUAAUACCGGAUAGGACCACUGCCUGCAUGGGUGGUGGUGGAAAGCUUUUGCGGUGUGGGAUGGGCCCGCGGCCUAUCAGCUUGUUGGUGGGGUGAUGGCCUACCAAGGCGACGACGGGUAGCCGGCCUGAGAGGGUGACCGGCCACACUGGGACUGAGAUACGGCCCAGACUCCUACGGGAGGCAGCAGUGGGGAAUAUUGCACAAUGGGCGCAAGCCUGAUGCAGCGACGCCGCGUGAGGGAUGACGGCCUUCGGGCUGUAAACCUCUUUCAGCACCGACGAAGCGCAAGUGACGGUAGGUGCAGAAGAAGGACCGGCCAACUACGUGCCAGCAGCCGCCGUAA